rnacentral:rRNA from 1 species
UGCAGCUCAAGUGGUGGCCGCUAUUAUUGGGCCUAAAACGUCCGUAGCCUGUUUAUUAAAUGCCUAGGUAAAUUGUGUGGCUUAACCAUACGAAUUCUGGGUAGACUGAUAAACUUGAGACCGGGAGAAGCUAGAGGUACUCCUGGGGUAGAGGUGAAAUUCUGUAAUCCUAGGGGGACCACCAGUGGCGAAGGCGUCUAGCUAGAACGGGUUUGACGGUGAGGGACGAAGCCCUGGGGCGCAAACGG